rnacentral:rRNA from 1 species
AGGACGAACGCUGGCGGCGUGCUUAACACAUGCAAGUCGAGCGGUAAGGCUCCUUCGGGAGUACACGAGCGGCGAACGGGUGAGUAACACGUGAGCAAUCUGCCCUUCACAUUGGAAUAACUUCGGGAAACCGAAGCUAAUACCGAAUACGACCACCGAUGGCAUCAUCUGGUGGUGGAAAGUUCCGGCGGUGAAGGAUGAGCUCGCGGCCUAUCAGCUUGUUGGUGGGGUCAUGGCCCACCAAGGCGACGACGGGUAGCCGGCCUGAGAGGGUGACCGGCCACGACUGGGACUGAGACACGGCCCAGACUCCUACGGGAGGCAGCAGUGGGGGAAUAUUGGACAAUGGGCGAAAGCCUGAUCCAGCAACGCCGCGUGAGGGAUGACGGCCUUGGGUGUAAACCUCUUUCACCCACGACGAAGCGAAAGUGACGGUAGUGGGAGAAGAAGCACGGCCAACUACGUGCCAGCAGCCGC